rfam:Ancylostoma ceylanicum strain HY135 Acey_s0152_scaf, whole genome shotgun sequence.
UGUCGAUGAUGUUGUUUCAAGACGGGACUUACAAGAGAAUGAUUACGCUACGAAACCCUGAGACA